rnacentral:misc_RNA from 1 species
AACGCACAUUGCGCCCCUUGGUAUUCCGAGGGGCAUGCCUGUUCGAGCGUCAUUACAACCCUCAAGCUCUGCUUGGUAUUGGGCCUCACCCGUUAGGGCGUGCCUUAAAAUCAGUGGCGGUGCCAUCUGGCUCUAAGCGUAGUAAUUUUUCUCGCUAUAGGGUCCUGUGGACGCUUGCCAGCAACCCCAAUUUUUCUAUGGUUGACCUCGGAUCAGGUAGGGAUACCCGCUGAACUUAA